rnacentral:rRNA from 1 species
AUGAACGCUAGCGACAGGCUUAACACAUGCAAGUCGAGGGGCAGCACAGGUAGCAAUACCGGGUGGCGACCGGCGCACGGGUGAGUAACGCGUAUGCAACUUGCCUAUCAGAGGGGGAUAACCCGGCGAAAGUCGGACUAAUACCGCAUGAAGCAGGGAUCCCGCAUGGGAAUAUUUGCUAAAGAUUCAUCGCUGAUAGAUAGGCAUGCGUUCCAUUAGGCAGUUGGCGGGGUAACGGCCCACCAAACCGACGAUGGAUAGGGGUUCUGAGAGGAAGGUCCCCCACAUUGGUACUGAGACACGGACCAAACUCCUACGGGAGGCAGCAGUGAGGAAUAUUGGUCAAUGGCCGAGAGGCUGAACCAGCCAAGUCGCGUGAGGGAUGAAGGUUCUAUGGAUCGUAAACCUCUUUUAUAAGGGAAUAAAGUGCGGGACGUGUCCCGUUUUGUAUGUACCUUAUGAAUAAGGAUCGGCUAACUCCGUGCCAGCAGCCGCGGUAAUACGGAGGAUCCGAGCGUUAUCCGGAUUUAUUGGGUUUAAAGGGUGCGUAGGCGGCCUUUUAAGUCAGCGGUGAAAGUCUGUGGCUCAACCAUAGAAUUGCCGUUGAAACUGGGGGGCUUGAGUAUGUUUGAGGCAGGCGGAAUGCGUGGUGUAGCGGUGAAAUGCAUAGAUAUCACGCAGAACCCCGAUUGCGAAGGCAGCCUGCCAAGCCAUUACUGACGCUGAUGCACGAAAGCGUGGGGAUCAAACAGGAUUAGAUACCCUGGUAGUCCACGCAGUAAACGAUGAUCACUAGCUGUUUGCGAUACACUGUAAGCGGCACAGCGAAAGCGUUAAGUGAUCCACCUGGGGAGUACGCCGGCAACGGUGAAACUCAAAGGAAUUGACGGGGGCCCGCACAAGCGGAGGAACAUGUGGUUUAAUUCGAUGAUACGCGAGGAACCUUACCCGGGUUUGAACGCAUUCGGACCGAGGUGGAAACACCUUUUCUAGCAAUAGCCGUUUGCGAGGUGCUGCAUGGUUGUCGUCAGCUCGUGCCGUGAGGUGUCGGCUUAAGUGCCAUAACGAGCGCAACCCUUGCCACUAGUUACUAACAGGUAAAGCUGAGGACUCUGGUGGGACUGCCAGCGUAAGCUGCGAGGAAGGCGGGGAUGACGUCAAAUCAGCACGGCCCUUACAUCCGGGGCGACACACGUGUUACAAUGGCGUGGACAAAGGGAGGCCACCUAGCGACAGGGAGCGAAUCCCCAAACCACGUCUCAGUUCGGAUCGGAGUCUGCAACCCGACUCCGUGAAGCUGGAUUCGCUAGUAAUCGCGCAUCAGCCAUGGCGCGGUGAAUACGUUCCCGGGCCUUGUACACACCGCCCGUCAAGCCAUGGGAGCCGGGGGUACCUGAAGUCCGUAACCGCGAGGAUCGGCCUAGGGUAAAACUGGUGACUGGGGCU